rnacentral:rRNA from 1 species
CCUACGGGAGGCUGCAGUGAGGAAUAUUGGUCAAUGGACGAGAGUCUGAACCAGCCAAGUAGCGUGAAGGAUGACUGCCCUAUGGGUUGUAAACUUCUUUUAUAUGGGAAUAAAAUGUUCCACGUGUGGGAUUUUGUAUGUACCAUAUGAAUAAGGAUCGGCUAACUCCGUGCCAGCAGCCGCGGUAAUACGGAGGAUCCGAGCGUUAUCCGGAUUUAUUGGGUUUAAAGGGAGCGUAGGUGGAUUGUUAAGUCAGUUGUGAAAGUUUGCGGCUCAACCGUAAAAUUGCAGUUGAAACUGGCAGUCGUGAGGACAGGAGAGGUGGGCGGAAUUCGUGGUGUAGCGGUGAAAUGCUUAGAUAUCACGAAGAACUCCGAUUGCGAAGGCAGCUCACUGGACUGCAACUGACACUGAGGCUCGAAAGUGUGGGUAUCAAACAGGAUUAGAUACCCUUGUAGUC